GACGAACGCUGGCGGCGUGCCUAAUACAUACAAGUUGAGCGAUGAAGAUUGGUGCUUGCACCAAUUUGAAGAGCAGCGAACGGGUGAGUAACGCGUGGGGAAUCUGCCUUUGAGCGGGGGGCAACAUUUGGAAACGAAUGCUAAUACCGCAUAACAACUUUAAACAUAAGUUUUAAGUUUGAAAGAUGCAAUUGCAUCACUCAAAGAUGAUCCCGCGUUGUAUUAGCUAGUUGGUGAGGUAAAGGCUCACCAAGGCGAUGAUACAUAGCCGACCUGAGAGGGUGGUCGGCCACAUUGGGACUGAGACACAGGCCAAGCUUCUACGGGAGGCAGCAGUAGGGGAUCUUGGGCAAUGGACGAAAGUCUGACCGAGCAACGCCGCGUGAGUGAAGAAGGGUUUCGGAUCGUAAAACUCUGUUGGUAGAGAAGAACGUUGGUGAGAGUGGAAAGCUCAUCAAGUGACGGUAACUACCCAGAAAGGGACGGCUAACUACGUG
rnacentral:rRNA from 1 species